CAGCGACGGAGCAGCGGCAGGACCAUGAACUUCAUCCUGCCUUCUCUGCAAUGGAGGCCGCCGUGUUCGCCGCAAGCAAAGUAGUAAGGCAGCCACCUCUUCAGCACAAACUCGAAGCCCUCCCCGUCACCUUGUGUGGCGUUUGCAAUCAUCUUGGCUCGUGAGAGGUCGCAUCUCAAGUAACUCCACAGAUUUGGUAGCUGGUACACACUGUGUGGGAAAACGGUGUCGUUCGGGGCAUCAUACUUGAACACUGCAUGCAUGCAAUAUCAAUAUAUGCCGCGCGCCAUCGGAAUAAAUAUUAUAUUCAUACGCAUAUAUGAAAAAGAUAUUUGUAAAAUUAAAUUUAUUGUGAUAUGAGAACUAAAUUAAUUAAUUACCUAGCACAUCGUUCACGUAAAAGGGAGCAUUUUUGAAAGCCCAAACGCUGUAAUUGAAGCCAAAGCGCCAGUUAUCAGAGCCACCCACGAUGAUCUUGUUGGGACCAUUAUCAUCAUUUGUGUUGUUGGAGUUAUGGGAUUCAUUUUUGUGACCCCAUGGCCAUUGAUAUGUUUUGUUGAAUCCAUUAGACCAGCCCCGGUUCGCCGAGCACACUGUCAGCAUUGAAGCUGCUGAUAGAAUCACAAAGAGUGAAUGUGCAGCUUUGAAAGCCAUUGAUUAAUUAUUAAUUUGUAAUGAAACAAUUAAGAACUGAAAAUUGUUAGUUGUAGAGAGAAGAGGUUUUUGAUGUUGCGAAGAUGGGUGCAUUAUUGGCUCUUUUUUAUAGGGGGAAAAGGGAGAGUGUAGAACUGCCGAAUUUAACUAUUUUUUAGGUGAAAAAAAGAAAAGAUUAAGAAAAUGAUUAUGGUGUGCUCUAAAUUUCAACAAAUUCAUCAACAUCCUUCUAGUUCAGGUCAAUAUUGCUUCCCAAGAGUCAAAUUUGCAAUUUGUGCUCUCCUAUGGUGGACUUAAAUUGAUCAGUGUGAAAGCAUUUAAUGUGUUUUCAACAAAAUGAACUUGAGAAGUUUUAUUAACGUUCAAAGGAGCUACAAUAUUUAAUGGGUUGGUACUUGGCUGGUAAAGAGGGAAAUUCCUCCAUCAAAAUCGAAAAAGGAAACUUACGCAAUCUUAUGCUAUAAUCAUUUCUAAUUACCUUUUAAGUUUAAAGGUUGAUCCCCUGACAAGACAAAGUCAAUUAAUUUAUAUGAACUUAAUUAAGAAUUAAUAAGAAUGUAAUUGUGCUGGUUUAACUAAUGCAAUUUGACGAAAUUAAGCUGGACCAUAUGAAAUUAAUAUAAAAUAUCUUAUUACGGUUAAGUGACGUGAUCAUGAUGACACGAUUAAUUUGGUUUAAAUGCAAUACACACACACACACAUUAUACUCUUACAUAAUAGCUUUUCGGACUUUAACAAUGCUCAAAAUUUUGGACUAGCUUUAAUAUAUAUUAGAAAUUUCUUAAUGAGGAUUCCCGUACUUAAAAGUGCGGGAUGGACUUUCACACUGUUGUGAAAUGUUAGAAAAAUAUUUCACGCCGUUAUGAAACCCUUUCACAAUAGUUUGAAAAUUCAUCCCGCACUUUAUCAAAUAUACAUACAUACAUAUAUAUAUAUAUAUAUAUACAUGUAUGUAUUAAUUAUUCUUAGCUGUAGGCACUGGUAUUCUCUAAAGUACCAAUUUGGGAUUUCACAUUGGUGUCCAAUGCUUUAACAUCAUUGUAAACUAUUGAAAUAUUAUUUUACAUUGCUGUGAAAGUAUUUGAGACUAUUGUGAAACCCCUAGUUCUUAUUUUAAAAAAAUACAAGUGCUCCCGAUGGAAAAUGACUUAUAUAUAAUAAUUUUUUCGGACUUUAAUUACAAAAUUCGGGAUCCUAAAUUGAAACAUCUACAUACAUGCAUACAUAUAUAUUAAUUUUCUAAUAAGAGAUUCAACUUUUUUAAAGGGUUUUUUUUUAAAAAAAAAAAAUAUGGCAGGGGCUUAAUCGGUAGCUAUUAAACUGUCAGGUUCAUGGAGGCCAUAAUGGAAUUGGUACAUUGGCGAUUCAGAUAGCUAAAUGCCAAUAAGUUAAAGUCUUUCUUCCAGCAUGUCUAGCUCAUCUUAUGUCAAUUAUUCAAUUUAUAUGUAUUCACGGUUUGUAGAUAUUUUAUUGCUCUCGAAAAAGAGAGGAAAAGCUGGCGUUUUGCAAGAGUCCUGGAUCUUGGAUCUUGAUGAACAGAAAAUUCCUCUAUUUUUAGCCCUUGGUUUUUUAUUAUAUUUAUCAUUUCUGAUCAACUAUCAGAAUUAAUAUGUAUCACAUUAAUAUUUUUUUGAAGAAGCUACUAUUGAUUUUUUUUGUUAAGCAGACAAUAAGAUGCUUUUGAAAACUGAUACUUUUGAAGAUAUGAUCUACCUCAUCUUAUGCUUGAAGUAGCCUUUGUUUUUCGGUACUUCCAUUUUCAUUUAACCUUUGUUUACUCCAUAGGGUAGGUACAAAUUCGAAGUGCCUUCUAAUUCUGCUGCUCAUAUUUCCAGCCUUUUCCCCUUUGUUUUAAUUUGGUUUAUUGAUUGUGGACAUGUCUGAUUUAGUUUAUAUCAUUAUUGGACUAAACUGUUAUCCAUGACUCCAUUUUCAAUACACUUGACGUUGCAUACAAGUCUGAACAGUGACUCCAUUCUCACACUCAUAAAUGAUCAUAUAUGCAUGUGAUCGUGAUCUCACAUACCGAAAGACAUAAUUAUACUUGAUAGCGCUCAAUAGCUAAAUUAAAACGGUAAUGAGAUAUAUAAAUAUACCACUAUAAAUGGGAUUUGUAGCAAGCCUACAGAAGCAAUAUCAGCUGUCGGUAUUAUUUAAUUAGGAAGACACCUGCAUAAUACAAAGACAGAGAGAAAAAUAUAUACGACCUAGACCUAGCUAAUGCCAUCUGUGAGUUGAAAUGCGUUUUUCUAAAACCAUCUGAUAGGGAUCUUAUUUCAGGAAACAGUUUCAAGUACUCAGGCAGAGAGCUAGCUUUUCACUUCAACAAAACUUUCGAGUGAUUUUUGCUGAAACACUUUCACAAUAAAACAAUCCUAGUAAUUUAUUUCUUCUUUCUUUUCCAUGCCUGAAUAUUUGUAUUCAUUCCUUAAAAUGUGGCUGAGCAGCUGGCUAACGGUUUUAAAUCUCUGUUUUCUAUUCUUCUAAAAUUUCAAUCUUCUUUUUCUUCUUCUAAAGAGCUUUUUAAUACGAUGAUGAUCAACGAUAUGGAUGGCAAAAUGACCUAUCCCAAAUUUUAACUCAAUUGACUCGAUCUGAUUUUUUUGAGAUUUGACCCGAAUUUAAGGGUCACGAGUUAGGCUCAGGUCUAAAUAUUAGGGCUCAAUUAAAUUCGAGUUAGCGUUUGGGCCUUACCUAACCUGAACCGAACCCAAAACUUAAAAAAAAAAAAGCCAUGACUUUUGUUUAUACUUAUUUUAUUAUUAUUUAUAUAAUUAUAUGGUUAAGACCUUGAGUGAUUACGCUUAUGUUAAAUUUUAAUAUAUAUGAGAGGUUAUGUCCCUUUUUUUAAACAAAUUAGAUUACUUAAAUAUAAAAAAAUUCUUUAAAAAAAUUAUGGUCGGGCUCAAACAAAGCCCAACCUGACCCUGACCUGAAUUGGGUCGAGCUGGAAUGACUAGAUUUUUUUUUUCAAUCAAGUCUUUUAUUUUAGUAAUUGGAUCGGGCGAAUUGCCAUCCUUAAUCAAUGGCGUGGUUCUCUUUGAAAUGAGUUUUUCCAAGGGCAUAUGUAUAUGUUUUCCAGGGCCGGCUUUAGAGUCUAAGGGACCUUAGGCGAAAUUUUCUUAUGAGACCUCUAUUUAUUUUGUAAUUUCAAAACUCAAAGACAUAUAAAAAGAAUUAAAAUUUAUUUCAUCUUUAAUUUUUGAAUUUCAAUAAUAAUAAAAAAAUAAAAAUUUUAAAAAUAAAACCUAAAAAAUAGUCAAGAAGAUAUUUUUUUUAUUCCAUUAAAACCGUUAAAAACAAACAAACAAAUAAAUAAAAAUAAUAUUUUUUUCAAAUAGAAUAUUUAAAAGGGUAGAGUACAAAAUUUUGAAAUGAUGAAUUGAUGUUCAAAAAUAAAAAUGGACUUUAUAUUUGAAGAAACUAAUUAUUUACAUGAACCAAUGAAUAUAAUAAUUUUCUUUGUAGAGAAAAGAACAAGAAAUUUUUUUCAUUUACUAAUUCUUGAGAUUAUAAGGUUUUUAAUAGAAAUUAAAAGAAAUACUAAAAAUCAAAGAUUCUAACAAAUACUAAAAAUCAAAGAUUCUAACAUUGAAUAAUUAAAAAGGUAAAUAAUUUUUUGAAAAUAAUAAUAAUGAAUCAACUAAUGGUUAAAUAAUAUAUUAUACUUCUUUAAAAUUAAGAUUUCUAAAAAUAGAUUUUUUAUCAAAAAUAACUCUUAAUUUCUUAAAAUACGUAUUAAAAUUUUUUAUUAAUUAGAGAAUUAUUAAGGAAAUACUAAAAAAAUAAGGCCUUCUUAAAAGAUGAGGCCUUAGGCGACUGCCUUGUUCGCCUAUACCUAAAGUCACCCCUGAUGUUUUCACCAAAUUAAUUUAGCUAGGAUCCAGUUUGAACAAUUUAGUGGUUGUUCUUACCAAGUAUAGCCCAAAUUCUAUUUAAACAAAUAAAUUUAUAAUUGAGGGAGUUUGAGCUAAUGAUAGUUUAGGUGUGUGUGUGUGUGUUUUUUUUUUUUUAUGUUGGGGGUGGGGGUGGCAUGUGGCAUAGUUGAGGUGAACUGGGAGGUGAUCUGAGGUGUUUUAAUUAAGUGGGGAAUAUUAUGAAGAGCUUAGUGGAGCUCCUAGGAGUUAGUUUAAAGAGUUGAUAUAGAGAGCUUAAGAGAACUUAGGGUACCUUAGCUGCAAUUAGGAGAUAACUUUAGAGAGCUUAUCUAUAAAGCUCAUUAUAUCUCGUGGUAUAACUUAAGUGAAUUCAUAUGUGAAAUAAUAAUGGUUUAGGUUUGUUUUCUGAUAUUUGAGGGGGUAGUUGGUUUAGCUGAGGUGAUGUGGGAGGUGAUAUGAGGUGUUUGAAGUGGGGAAUAAUAUGGAAGCUCAGUAGAGCUUAUGAGAGUUAGUUUAGAGCUCAGGUAGUUGGGAGAUACCUAUGGAGAGCUUAUCUGGAGAGCUACGGGCUUAUAGCAUAACUCAGGUGAAUUCAUUUAUAAAAUGUGAUAUAGGCAUCAAAAUCAUCACAAUAAGCAGAAAACAAGUAUGAACAAUAAAGAACACAAAAAAAUUUACAUGGUUCACCCUUUUAGCCUACAUCUACGAGAGUAAUCAUCUCUAAUCUACUAUGUAAGUGAAAUAUUAUAUAAUUUUUAUUACAUACAAACAAAACUUUGUUAAAGUUUAUUUUUAUGGUGAAUGAUAACAUGAUGGAUAGUAUGGAUUUUAUAGAGAAAAGAAAAAUAAUCUAAAAUAAGAAUAAGAAAAAUGUUCUUUUGAAAGAUGAGGUGGUUAAGAUCUUCCAUAAAGUUCUUAAAAAUUGAAGAAACCUUAGAAAUGAUAGAAAAAGAUGAUGAAACUCCAAAGAAUUCAGAUCUCAAAAGAUGCCCAAAGAUCUGUCAAAAUUGAAUAUAUGGAGCUUAUAUCGGAGUGUUUCUAAGAGUUUCUUGAUAAUUCUUGAGAGCUAGCAAAUUUUCAUUAGUUUGUCCUCCUUAAGUGAGUUUAUAUUUGUCUUUUUUCUUUUAUUUACUUGAUAGUGACCCAAAUAACUGGUGAACAAGUAAUUCCCUUCGCUUUCACAUAUUACUUGUCCUUUGCCACGUGAAGAUGUUGGUAUAAUGGGCUCAUUGCUUUUUAGGGGACAGUUAAAGAGUAAUGGUAUGUCUUUUUCUCAUUGUUGUGCUCAACUGAUCUAUUUUUCUAUUGAUCCUUAUUUUAGCCUAAAGAACAAGAUAUUUAUUUUUUUUUCGAUGGCAUGCACCUCCAACAUGUGAGGGCUCGAGUUAUUAUUUUUUAUUUUUUAUUUUGCCCCUUAAACUGGACAAAUUCAUACGAGCUAUUCUAGUUGAGAGUAACCUUAUUGUAUUGAAGCUAUCUUCCGUUCUAAUUACAGUGAUGACUUUUCUUCUAUUUUAUUCUCUAUUGCCACGUGUAGCUGGCCAAUUGGUCCAAAUCAUCCAAAAUUUUAGUAAUGUAGUAACUAUGGCAUAAUAAAAACAUUAGGUGUCUUCAAUGGAAAUAAAAAUAAAUAAUAGAUAGCAAAUAAUUAUAUGAGCGUGAUUAUAUUUUUUGUGAUACUAUUCAACGAAGAUAACGACAUUGACUAUUAUAUUAACGAGUAACAUUUAUUAUUAGUUAAGUUUAGAGAAUAAUGAAGUAUUAUUAUAAUUAAUCUUCAGACCUAAUAAUUCUAAGAUUGGGAUGAUAAUAAUUUUAUGAUUAUUAAUCAUAUUGAAAGAUUUUUUCUUAUUUGAUAGCUGGAAAGUAGAAUAGAACUUUGAUAUGGAGCUAAAUUUGACACAUUCAAUAAAAAUGAUAUUGAAUAAGAAUUUACCUAAUAUAUUUGAUUAUAGUUAUGACUAACUAUGGAGAAGUUAGGAAAUUUCUUAGGCUCUAUUUACUAUUGAGGUGUUAUUGUGGCUUAAAAACAGGAGUUUAUGUAAAAAAAAUGAAAAUGGUUAUAACUAUGAAAUAAAGUGUACACACACAUACAUUUCUCAUUAUAUAAGCGUGGAAUUAAAUCAAUUUAGCUUCCAAACUACAACAAAUGAGUGCUUACAAAAUACUUUGGUGCUAAACUCUUAAACUAUCCAACCACAAUAUUAAACAUGGUCUUAACCUAUCCUAAAUUAAAAUAAUUUUUCAAUAAAUAUUAUUCAUUAAAAUAGUAUUUUUUUUAAAGUCAUGCAAUGAAUCUUUUUAUAAGGACUGUUAUGCAUAUUACUAAUUUUAUGGGGAUUAUGAAAAAUUAUGUGAAGGACAAAUAUGAACAUUAUUUAUUUAAUUAGUUUUUUAGGUAAACCUCGAUGGUAUAAGGGAGGAUUUUUCUAAAUGAAGAGAAAAGAGAAAAUGACACCUAGUUAGGGGAGAAUUUUUUAUUUUAUAUAUUAUGAUUUAUAAAUAAAUUUUAAAAAUUAUUAGGCCACAACCAAACGUUGAAACUCUCUCUUGGCGUUGCCUAUCUAUUAAUGAUAAAUGACGUGUCACCAAUCAAUAACUGUCAUGUAUUAGAUAAUGGUUGACUUUUUAUGUAAUCAUUAUUAUCAAUGAAUGAUAUAUUUAUUUUGCAUGCAAGUUUUAUAUCCCAACUUUAUAUACUUAUUAUUACUUAUAGCUCUUAUUAAUUUUAAUUAUUUAUCAAACUAAAUCACCUUCUUUUUAUUGUGUUUUGAUUUGAUCACUUACUCCCUACAACGUUUAUAAUACCUUAUUGGUCGUUACUGAUUUGACAUUAAUUAGAACCAGGGAAAAAAAAAAGUAUGGCCGGUUUCAGAGGCGGGCUGGAUAUUUAUUUGUUAUCACCAAAAUUUAAUGGUCUUCUGUUCAUUCAUAAGGAGCCGAGCUUGACCUUAUCAAUUCAAAUUUCUAUAAUCCAACAAUUUUGUUACAGUGGAUAAGGAAGAAAAAAGAAGAAGAAACGCGGGCUUUUUAUAGUUAUAAAGACAUCAAAUUAUUACAUACAUUCUAUGAAGAAAAAAAAAACAAGUAAUUUAAAACGUGACACUAUCUCAAAACUUUAUUUAAAACCCAAUAUAUAAUCGCUUAAAUCAAGGAAAAAAAAACAAGAUAAUAUAAAUGCUCAAAGAUAACAUAAACGAUGGCUUCAGCUCCCUCAGCUUCUUAAUUUUAUUGUAAAAAUAUAUAUAUAUAUAUGUGAUACUAGACCUGCCUUCUCUGCAAUGGAGGCCGCCGUGUUCGCCGCAAGCAAAGUAGUAAGGCAGCCACCUCUUCAGCACAAACUCGAAGCCCUCCCCGUCACCUUGUGUGGCGUUUGCAAUCAUCUUGGCUCGUGAGAGGUCGCAUCUCAAGUAACUCCACAGAUUUGGUAGCUGGUACACACUGUGUGGGAAGACGGUGUCG
rnacentral:lncRNA from 1 species